rnacentral:rRNA from 1 species
AACCAGACUCCUACGGGAGGCAGCAGUGGGGAAUAUUGCACAAUGGGGGAAACCCUGAUGCAGCGACGCCGCGUGAGUGAAGAAGUAUUUCGGUAUGUAAAGCUCUAUCAGCAGGAAAGAAAAUGACGGUACCUGACUAAGAAGCCCCGGCUAACUACGUGCCAGCAGCCGCGGUAAUACGUAGGGGGCAAGCGUUAUCCGGAUUUACUGGGUGUAAAGGGAGCGUAGACGGUGAAGCAAGUCUGAAGUGAAAGACGGGGGCUCAACCCCCGGACUGCUUUGGAAACUGUUUGACUGGAGUGCAGGAGAGGUAAGUGGAAUUCCUAGUGUAGCGGUGAAAUGCGUAGAUAUUAGGAGGAACACCAGUGGCGAAGGCGGCUUACUGGACUGUAACUGACGUUGAGGCUCGAAAGCGUGGGGAGCAAACAGGAUUAGAUACCCGUGUAU